rnacentral:lncRNA from 1 species
CCCAGUUUCAUUCGAACUCUAAGGAGCGGAUGGUUGGGUUGUGAAUGCUUCGACGUCAAGCCAGCAUAGGAGUUGAUAUGCCCUUAAGCAUCUUCCACUCUUUGUAAUUCUCAAAAACCAUAGUUGAGGGCAAGAAAAGUAAGGAGUGGUACUACUUAACUCUCCGGGGCUCCCACUCAUCUUUCGUACUGGACAUGUCCUAUUUGUUAAGAAGUGGAGGAAGUUGGUUUUUGGACCUCUAGGAGAUAAAAUACCAUGGGGAACGAUCUAAUUGGCACCUUUGACAAUUCCAACAGCCUAUUUUACUACAAGUUAGUUCUUCGAUCUAACUGGUUUAACUUGAAUAGAUUUCUUUUCGUUUAAUAUGUUGCUCAUUUUAUAUGUUCUUUGCUGAGGUGUCAAAUAGUUGCAGAUUAGUAGGACAUCAUUAAUUACAUUUAAUAGCUUCUCUUAAAGAAUUGGAGCUAUGAUGAGCUAAUUAACAAAAAUACACGCUUCACUCUAAACAGACUGAUGAUGUCUUGGGGUAAGUUUAUUUGCAAUGCCACUACAUUCAUUAUUCGAUGUGUCCAUGCUUAAAAAAUUUCGUUUCAAAUAUUUUUUAAAGAAGACACCAGUGAGGCCACAUUUUGCUACAAUCCACCAAAGCUUGGUAGAGGUGAGAGCCUUGAAAACUACAUCUAUGUCUUGUAAGAAUUAGGCUGAGAAGUUAACUCAAUUGAGUAAGAGGCAACUGCCUGUCGGGAAGGAAGAUGAAGUAGAUGGAGGAGGAUGAUUCGUUGAUAAAGAAAAUAAAUUGGGCCUAUCUGGGGCAUCGUUUUCAAUGCUUUCAAUGGGUAGACUUCAACCUCCUUUUCCUAUCCCUACCGGGUUGGCCAUAGUAGGACCCUAUCUAGAGGUGCCAUCGAGAGUGAUAACAAGGAAGAAAACUCUUCUUCCCUCUUCCAUUGAAGAUAGAAACGAGCUUUCAGCUCCACCUCAUUAAAUGGGAAAAAGGCCAACCAUCCUUCUUGUAGUAAAAAGGUAGUAGAUUUUCUAGGGAGCAAGGAGGAUGAGCUUUCUGAAACACAACCUGGAGAUGCUCCUCCUUGAGAAUACUUUAGUUGCUUGGUUCAAUAACAAAUUCUGGACCGACGAGUGGCAAUAUCACGUCGUCUCUGGAGAGGUUAAAGAUUUGCUCACUGCCAACAAUUCAUGCAUGGCCUGCGCGCUUUGUAUAAGCGUGACAGUGGAGGACUUAGUUCGGAGCCUCCGUAAAAUGAAUGAUGAACUAAGCUUUAGGCUAGAGGCUUCGGGGAGCUUGAAGGAGGAAGUGAAAAGGACGAGGGUCGAGGCACAAAAGGCUAAGAUGAAGAGGACUGAGGUGGAAGUUAAGUUAGUUGUUGAGAUACAAGUAAAUCAAUUGAAAAAGGUGCUUCAUUAAUCAGUUUCUCAAUUAGCUAUUCUAACGAAGUGGAUUGACCAGUCCAAUGAACAUCAACGGAUCGCCUCUGGUACUUUACUGGAGGUAAAUAAAGAGAAAGCCAAACUGAGGAUGCUGACGGAUGCCUAGAAAGAAGAUAUAGAAUCUCUGAAGGCUGAAGUGUAGACAGUAAGCGAGGCGUCAGUGAAGAACAUAUCGACAACUUCGAAUAAAAGAACGAAUAGGAUGACUUCGCCAAUUGUUGGGCUUCAUGGAAUGCCCAACAAAUGCUAGCUUAUCUAAGGAAAGUUCGUCCAGAGCUGGACGCUGGCUUCCUUAAAGUAGACUUUGGUGGGCCUACUGAACCUAAUAUUGAGGCCACUGAAGAGGCAAAUACUGAAAAAGAGGAAGAUGGGGC